GGAAUCUUCCGCAAUGGACGAAAGUCUGACGGAGCAACGCCGCGUGAGUGAGGAAGGCCUUCGGGUCGUAAAGCUCUGUUGUGAGGGAAGAAGCGGUACCGUUCGAAUAGGGCGGUACCUUGACGGUACCUCACCAGAAAGCCACGGCUAACUACGUGCCAGCAGCCGCGGUAAUACGUAGGUGGCAAGCGUUGUCCGGAAUUAUUGGGCGUAAAGCGCGCGCAGGCGGCUUCUUAAGUCUGAUGUGAAAUCUCGGGGCUCAACCCCGAGCGGCCAUUGGAAACUGGGGAGCUUGAGUGCAGAAGAGGAGAGUGGAAUUCCACGUGUAGCGGUGAAAUGCGUAGAGAUGUGGAGGAACACCAGUGGCGAAGGCGACUCUCUGGUCUGUAACUGACGCUGAGGCGCGAAAGCGUGGGGAGCAAACAGGAUUAGAUACCCUGGUAGUCCACGCCGUAAACGAUGAGUGCUAGGUGUUAGGGGUUUCGAUGCCCGUAGUGCCGAAGUUAACACAUUAAGCACUCCGCCUGGGGAGUACGGCCGCAAGGCUGAAACUCAAAGGAAUUGACGGGGACCCGCACAAGCAGUGGAGCAUGUGGUUUAAUUCGAAGCAACGCGAAGAACCUUACCAGGUCUUGACAUCCUUUGACCACCCAAGAGAUUGGGCUUCCCCUUCGGGGGCAAAGUGACAGGUGGUGCAUGGUUGUCGUCAGCUCGUGUCGUGAGAUGUUGGGUUAAGUCCCGCAACGAGCGCAACCCUUGAUCUUAGUUGCCAGCAUUGAGUUGGGCACUCUAAGGUGACUGCCGGUGACAAACCGGAGGAAGGUGGGGAUGACGUCAAAUCAUCAUGCCCCUUAUGACCUGGGCUACACACGUGCUACAAUUGAUGG
rnacentral:rRNA from 2 species